UGGGGAAUUUUGGACAAUGGGCGAAAGCCUGAUCCAGCAAUGCCGCGUGUGUGAAGAAGGCCUUCGGGUUGUAAAGCACUUUUGUCCGGAAAGAAAUGGCUCUGGUUAAUACCUGGGGUCGAUGACGGUACCGGAAGAAUAAGGACCGGCUAACUACGUGCCAGCAGCCGCGGUAAUACGUAGGGUCCAAGCGUUAAUCGGAAUUACUGGGCGUAAAGCGUGCGCAGGCGGUUGUGCAAGACCGAUGUGAAAUCCCCGAGCUUAACUUGGGAAUUGCAUUGGUGACUGCACGGCUAGAGUGUGUCAGAGGGGGGUUAGAAUUCCACGUGUAGCAGUGAAAUGCGUAGAGAUGUGGAGGAAUACCGAUGGCGAAGGCAGCCCCCUGGGAUAACACUGACGCUCAUGCACGAAAGCGUGGGGAGCAAACAGGAUUAGAUACCCUGGUAGUCCACGCCCUAAACGAUGUCAACUAGUUGUUGGGGAUUCAUUUCCUUAGUAACGUAGCUAACGCGUGAAGUUGA
rnacentral:rRNA from 1 species